rnacentral:rRNA from 1 species
GAUGAACGCUGACAGAAUGCUUAACACAUGCAAGUCGAUGGGGAAGUGGUGCUUGCACCAUGGUAACCAUGGCGGACGGGUGAGUAACACGUAAGGAACUUACCUGCGGGACCGGGAUAACAGCAGGAAACUGCUGACAAGACCGGAUAAGGUCAUUAAGCUGCAUAGCUUAGUGAUGAAAGGAGACGCCUGCGGAGAGCCUUGCGUCCUAUUAGCUAGUUGGGGGGGUAACGGCCCACCAAGGCGAAGAUAGGUAGCCGGCCUGAGAGGGUGGACGGCCACAAGGGGACUGAGAUACGGCAGUUACUCCUACGGGAGGCAGCAGUGGGGAAUAUUGGACAAUGGGGGCAACCCUGAUCCAGCAAUUCUGUGUGCACGAAGACGGUUUUCGGAUUGUAAAGUGCUUUCAGCAGGGAAGAAGGAAGUGACGGUACCUACAGAAGAAGCGACGGCUAAAUACGUG